rnacentral:rRNA from 1 species
CGCGUAGGCGGAUAGUUUAGUCAGAGGUGAAAGCCCAGGGCUCAACCUUGGAAAUGCCUUUGAUACUGGCUAUCUUGAGUACGGGAGAGGUGUGUGGAACUCCGAGUGUAGAGGUGAAAUUCGUAGAUAUUCGGAAGAACACCGGUGGCGAAGGCGACACACUGGCCCGUUACUGACGCUGAGGCGCGAAGGCGUGGGGAGCAAACA